GUUUUGAGAGAAUGACCAUUCACACUGGAACUGAGACCGGGUCCAGACUCUUACGGGAGGCAACCAUGGGGAAUAUGGCACAAUUGGUCCAAGCCUGGAACAGCCAUUCCGCGUGUUUGAAGAAGCCCUUCGGUUUGUAAAGCACUUUCAGCGGGGAGGAAGGGUCACUAGCUAAUACCUAGUGCCAUUGACGUUACUCGCAGAAGAAGCACCGGCUAACUCCGUGCCAGCAGCCGCGGUAAUACGGAGGGUGCAAGCGUUAAUCGGAAUUACUGGGCGUAAAGCGCACGCAGCCGGUUUGUUAAGUCAGAUGUGAAAUCCCCGAGCUCAACUUGGGAACUGCAUUUGAAACUG
rnacentral:rRNA from 1 species